UAACCUCAAUAGCUGCUGGUUUUUCAAGCUUUCAAAACAAGGAGAGGGAGUACUGGGAAUACUCUAAUCUCCUAGAGCCCUUGAACUACCCAUGGCACAGCAAUGCACAGUAACAUGAUCAAUUUUUGAGAAAACGAAUGAACAUUAGCCAGAAUUUGACAGGCAAAACAUUUAAUGUGUAACAUUUAACUAUUCAGUGUGAAUGUUGUUAUGUUAUGUUAUGUUAUGUUAUGUUAUGUUAUGUUAUGUUAUGUUAGGUUAGGUUAGGUUAGGUUAGGUUAGCAUGCUGUCGCUAACGUUAGUCGCAACGUCGCUAACGUUAUCCGCACAGGGGAUAAACUAGUCCCAAAUCUGAAAGCAGAGAAGAGGAAGGACAGGAGAAGAUGAGAUCAGACAACAGGGGCUCUUUAGGACAUCAAAGCAUGAUCCUGCCUCAGCCUGUCCUGACCAAGGUAAACUGAAGAGAGGAGGGGUUUGCAGAAUCGAGCAAGAGUGCUGGGCUUCUCCUGGUUGCGCCGCUGUCUGAACCAGCGCUGGAUGGUCCUCACAUCCCAGUCAAGCUGCUUGGACAGGCCCUCCAGCCUCUUCUCAUCUGGGUGCUGGCAAGACAACA